rnacentral:siRNA from 1 species
UACGCCCCCUCGAGAUGAU